rnacentral:lncRNA from 1 species
AAUAGAGUUUAGACUAUGAAUUUUUGCAUACUGCUAAGAUUCAAAAUAGGUGCUUGCCUAAGGAAUUGAUACAAUGGAGUUUUGGCUUAAGUUGAGAAUCUUUAGUUGCUGUAAGCACAGUAAGCCAUAGGAGAAUAAGUCAGAGUCUAUGAGAGGUAUGCCAUAGGAGAAUCUGACCUUUUUCUUGAUAAUUGGGUUAAUAUGAUAUAACAGUCAUGUGGACAUGUACAAA